rnacentral:lncRNA from 1 species
CGCGGUUGCUGGGCACCUCGACUAUCACCUGACCGUAGUAAUAUCUCCUGCUACGCGCGUUGUGACCAAUGCUGCAUACAGGAGAUGAGGGAGGACGGCCAGACACCUGGAAGCCGGAAAAUGCCAGCAAUCGGUGCAGUUUAACAUCUGAGGGCUGUCCAAGAGAGGAAGAGAUUCCCACAGUACCAUUGUCAUGCCAGGAUGACUGCAGGCAGAAACAAAGCUGAGCCACUUCCCCUCCCCUCAAGAGCAAUAUCAGAGACUUAAAGUUAUGAAGAAGAAAUUGACAGAGCAAGAGCAUCGCCAUCGUGGACAAGCACCUCAUUUUAAAAUUCACCUUAAUCAAAAACUCUAAAUCCAAAGGGCAUCAGCCUAAUGGCUAAGGUCAGCAUGACCAUAAACCACAAAUAAUCUCGCUGACCAAAAACAUUCCAGACUCCUCCCUGACCAGAGACAUGCACCAAGAUAACCCCCACUCUGGCUGGGAAGAUGCCAGCCCUGAGAAACCCCGCUCCGGCCAGAAAGAUGUCUGCCCCAAAAUAACCUCCCCUCCGCCCAGAGACAUUCCAAGCUUGUAAUAAGCCCCCUCACCCUAAAACCAAUAUAUACUCUUAGCCUGUAAGAAAAAGUGCUCCUGACCAAAAUAGGCCAGAAGCCCUUCAGAUUGUUUCUAAAAUAAACCUGUCUUUAACCAUCAAGCUGUGUUUCUUUCCUCUUUAACUCUUACAGAAAUAGACUUCACCAAAAUAGUCCAAUCGGUCUCUAAACAAAACAAAGCAAAUAACAAUAACAAGGCCCGGAGAAAUUGAAC